rnacentral:rRNA from 1 species
UCAACCUGCCCUUCAGAGGGGGACAACAGUUAGAAACGACUGCUAAUACCGCAUACGAUCUAAUCUCGGCAUCGAGGAUAGAUGAAAGGUGGCCUCUACAUGUAAGCUAUCACUGAAGGAGGGGAUUGCGUCUGAUUAGCUAGUUGGAGGGGUAACGGCCCACCAAGGCGACGAUACAUAGGGGGACUGAGAGGUUAACCCCCCACACUGGUACUGAGACACGGACCAG